UACGGAGGGAGCUAGCGUUGUUCGGAAUUACUGGGCGUAAAGCGCGCGUAGGCGGCUGUUCAAGUCAAAGGUGAAAGCCCGGGGCUCAACCCCGGAACUGCCUUUGAAACUAGAUAGCUAGAAUCAUGGAGAGGUCAGUGGAAUUCCGAGUGUAGAGGUGAAAUUCGUAGAUAUUCGGAAGAACACCAGUGGCGAAGGCGACUGACUGGACAUGUAUUGACGCUGAGGUGCGAAAGCGUGGGGAGCAAACAGG
rnacentral:rRNA from 1 species